rnacentral:rRNA from 1 species
AGCGAACGCUGGCGGCAGGCCUAACACAUGCAAGUCGAACGAACCUUUCGGGGUUAGUGGCGGACGGGUGAGUAACACGUGGGAACGUGCCUUUAGGUUCGGAAUAACUCAGGGAAACUUGUGCUAAUACCGAAUGUGCCCUUCGGGGGAAAGAUUUAUCGCCUUUAGAGCGGCCCGCGUCUGAUUAGCUAGUUGGUUGAGGUAAUGGCUCACCAAGGCGACGAUCAGUAGCUGGUCUGAGAGGAUGAUCAGCCACAUUGGGACUGAGACACGGCCCAAACUCCUACGGGAGGCAGCAGUGGGGAAUCUUGCGCAAUGGGCGAAAGCCUGACGCAGCCAUGCCGCGUGAACGAUGAAGGUCUUAGGAUUGUAAAAUUCUUUCACCGGGGACGAUAAUGACGGUACCCGGAGAAGAAGCCCCGGCUAACUUCGU